rnacentral:rRNA from 1 species
GGUUGAUCCUGCCGGAGGUCACUGCUAUCGGGGUUCGAUUAAGCCAUGCGAGUCGAGAGGGUUCAGACCCUCGGCGGACUGCUCAGUAACACGUGGAUAAUCUGCCCUAUGGUGGAGGAUAACCCCGGGAAACUGGGGAUAAUACUCCAUAAGUCAGGAGUACUGGAAUGUCUCCUAACUGAAAGUUGCGGCGCCAUAGGAUGAAUCUGCGGCCGAUUAGGUAGUUGUUGGGGUAACGGCCCAACAAGCCCGUAAUCGGUACGGGUUGUGGGAGCAAGAGCCCGGAGAUGGAAUCUGAGACACGAUUCCAGGCCCUACGGGGCGCAGCAGGCGCGAAAACUUUACAAUGCAGGAAACUGUGAUAAGGGAACCCCGAGUGCCCGUACACGCGGGCUGUCCCGGUGUUUAAAACACAUCGGAAGAAAGGGCCGGGCAAGACCGGUGCCAGCCGCCGCGGUAAUACCGGCGGCCCGAGUGGUGACCACUUUUAUUGGGCUUAAAGCGUUCGUAGCUUGAUUUUUAAGUCUCUUGGGAAAUCUCACGGCUUAACUGUGAGGCGUCUAAGAGAUACUGGGAAUCUAGGGACCGGGAGAGGUAAGAGGUACUUCAGGGGUAGAAGUGAAAUUCUGUAAUCCUUGAGGGACCACCGAUGGCGAAGGCAUCUUACCAGAACGGCUUCGACAGUGAGGAACGAAAGCUGGGGGAGCGAACGGGAUUAGAUACCCCGGUAGUCCCAGCCGUAAACUAUGCGCGUUAGGUGUGCCUGUAACUACGAGUUACCGGGGUGCCGAAGUGAAAACGUGAAACGCGCCGCCUGGGAAGUACGGUCGCAAGGCUGAAACUUAAAGGAAUUGGCGGGGGAGCACCACAACGGGUGGAGCCUGCGGUUUAAUUGGACUCAACGCCGGGCAGCUCACCGGAUAGGACAGCGGAAUGAUAGCCGGGCUGAAGACCUUGCUUGACCAGCUGAGAGGAGGUGCAUGGCCGUCGUCAGUUCGUACUGUGAAGCAUCCUGUUUAGUCAGGCAACGAGCGAGACCCCU